rnacentral:rRNA from 1 species
AUUGAACGCUGGCGGCAGGCCUAACACAUGCAAGUCGAGCGAGCGGCGGACGGGUGAGUACUGUAUGGGGACUGCCCGAUAGAGGGGGAUAACUACUGGAAACGGUAUCUAAUACCGCAUACUAUCGGCUACCCCAUAUGGGAUUAGCUAGUAGGUGAGGUAAUGGCUCACCUGGGCGACGAUCCCUAGCUCGCCUGAGAGGAUGAUCAGCCACACGGGGACUGCGACACGGCCCAGACUCCUCCGGAGGCAGCAGUGGGGAAUAUUUGACAAUGGGCGCAAGCCUGAUGCAGCCAUGCCGCGUGUAUGAAGAAGGCCCUAGGGUUGUAAAGUUCUUUCAGUCGGGAGGCGGUACCGACAGAAGAAGCACCGGCUAACUCCGUGCCAGCAGCCGCGGUAAUAC